CACGCACUGCAGCUAAAAUCUCUGUGUCUCUGCAGACAAGAAGCUGUGCUGCACUGCUGCACUUUAGGGGCCAGUCACCAGAUGCAAGCUCCGCUUUGGCCUCCACACCAAGCUGUUCAUUCAGCCUGGGUCACGAUCGCAGAGAAUGGCAGGGCUGCAGCGCACUUUUACAACUGGUUAUUCAGAGGUUACUGUGAAUCUGCAGCACCGUCUGCAGCAGUGCCUUGACAGCUCCUCCUCAUUCCUGGCUCCCAGCAACAUUCUCCCCACAACAAGAGGGCCUGGAACUGAAGAAAACCACAGGAACUCGCCUCUGGGCUCGCACUGACUUACAUCACAAGCCUCGUAUCUGCUUCUGCUGCCAACACAGCCCUAAGCCUAACACCAAGCACCUUUACGUCAUCCUUACAAUGUUUGGAAAACUCGCCUCUUCAAGUCAGACCCUGAAACCAGCAGCACUGCAAAGUCAAAGCAGCCUGUGGCAAUGGAAGCUUUGUCUCGUCUAUUCGGAUGUUCCUCACCUGGUUACUCUGCAAUCCUACUUUCCCCUUCCUCUCAACGCCUUGGUCCUCCUUUGCCCAAUUCUGAAAUGUGAUGCGGGAGAGACAAUUAACGAUCUGAUGACACCUUCGUUCAUUAGCCAAAGUGACUUCCAAAGAAACUUAUUCCAUACCUCCACAUCAUUUCCUGCACUCCUAACGAAAAGGUUUGCGCCACCAGGAUGUUUGCAACCAGAGAUUGCGAACAAGUCCAGCCAUUUCCCAGACACGGUGAAUUGUAGGAUCUCGUAGAAUUCUUUUGAUAUCCUUACAUCUGGACUACUGCACAUCUGGAGUAUUCCGCACAUCUGGAGCAUUCCGUACAUCAGGAGUGUUCUGUGCUGUACCAAGGACUGGGUCUUCUCUGUGCACAGCUGAGGCUGGGUUAAUUUCACCUCGAUCCAGCUGUGGCUCAAGGAGUGACACCCUCACCUUGGGCUCAGCUGCUGAGACCUGAGCACAAAAUUUAAGAUGCCAUUCCAAUGCAGACAUUCUGGAGGUGCUGCCUUUUGAAUGAGAUGCUGAGCUGAGGGGGCCUUGUGUCCUCUCAGAUGAGGGUAAAAUCUCCAGUGGAAUCAUUUUGAAGAAGAGCAAGCUAGUUAUUCCCAAGGUCUUGCCCAUGUCCAUCCAUGUCCUUGCCCAUGUACAGGCACGGUUGUGUAGCGGUUAGCGUAACGCUAUAACAGCGCCAGCGACCCGGGUUCAAUUCUGGCCACUGUCUGUAAGGAGUUUGUAUGUUCUCCUCGUGUCUGCGUGGGUUUCCUCCGGGUGCUCCAGUUUCCUCCCACAUUCCAAAAACAAAAGACGUAUGGGUUAGGAAGUUGUGGGCAUGCUAUGGUGGCGCCGGAAGCAUGGCGACACUUGCGGGCUGCCCCUAGAACACUCUACGCUAAAAGGUGCAUUUCACUGUGUGUUUCGACGUACAUGUGACU